UGGCGGUUUUUUAUCAUUCUAGAGGAACCUGCUCUGUAAACGAUGCCACACGGUUAAUUUUCUUUUUCUAGUGCUUAUAUAUCGUUGUCGUAAAACUUAAUUACAAAAUUUUGUUUUAAAUGCUUUCGGCAGAAUGUCAAAUCAAGGUGUAGCUGUGAAAAAGUUUGAAGUGGGUUACAAUUAUUAUUGUAUCGAAUUACUUUUUGUAAGAAAAUUAUGAAGUUGGAUUUAGGAGUAAAUUUAUUAUUAACAUGAAUUGAAUUUUGCUCUAGAAA
rnacentral:rRNA from 1 species